AUUUAUAUAGUUUAACAAAAACAUUACAUUUUCACUGUAAAAAUAAAAUUUUCUUUUUAUAAAUU
rnacentral:tRNA from 1 species